UACGGGGGGAGCAAGCGUUGUUCGGAUUUACUGGGCGUAAAGGGCGCGUAGGCGGUCAGCACAAGUCAGUUGUGAAAUCUCCGGGCUUAACCCGGAAAGGUCAACUGAUACUGUGCGACUAGAGUGCGGAAGGGGCAACUGGAAUUCUCGGUGUAGCGGUGAAAUGCGUAGAUAUCAGGAGGAAUACCGGUGGUGUAGACGGCUCUCUGGACCGCAACUGACGCUGAGACACGAAAGCGUGGGUAGCAAACAGG
rnacentral:rRNA from 1 species